CGUAUAAACAGUAAUUAAAAAGUCUGUUAUCAAAGCAAAGUUCAGGACCAGAUGAUAUCAUGACUAAAUUCUACCAAAUAUUUAAAAUUCUACCAAAUUCUAAAUGCUACCUGAUAUUUAAAAAAUACAAGUACCUAUCAAACUCUUCUAAUGACUCAAGAAAAUAGAAUACUUCCAAAUUCAUUUUACAAGGCCAGCAUUACCCUGAUAUCAAAAUGAGGCAAAGAUACUGCAAGAAAAGAAAAUUAUAGGCCAAUGUCCCUAAUUUGUAGAUAAUACAUUUUUUGACAUAGCUAUAAAUAACACAAAGAAGAGAUAGAUGGUCUUUUCAAUGAUGUUAGAGAAAUUGGAUAUCCACAUGCAAAAAAUGAAAUUGGAUCCUUAUGUGACACCAUAUACUAAAAUAAACUGAAAAUGAAUUAAAUACUUAGUAAGACCUGAAAACAUACAACUAGUGGAAGAAAACAUAGGGAAAAUGCUCUAUGACAUCAGUCUAGGCAAUUUUUUUUUUAUGUAACCUUAAAAGCAUGGAAACAGAAGCAAACUCAACAAAUGGGUUUACAUCAAACUAAAAAUGCUUUAGCACAGCAACGGAAGCAAUUAAGAGUGAA
rnacentral:lncRNA from 1 species